AUGUUCCUGGUGCUCCUCCCAGUGCUGGGGAUAAACUUUCUCCUGAGAGAUGCCCAGGCUCAGUCAGUGACUCAACCUGAUGCUCAUGUCAUUUUCUCUGAAGAAGCCUCUCUGCAGCUGAGAUGCAACUAUUCCUACCCUGGGACACCUUCCCUGUUCUGGUUUGUCCAGUACCCACAGCAGGGGCUGGAGAUGCUCCUCAAGUACUAUUCAGGAGACCCCGUGGUUCAAGGAAUGAAAGGCUUCGAGGCUGAGUUCAGCAAGAGCAACUCUUCCUUCCACCUGCGGAAAGCCUCUGUGCACUGGAGCGACUCGGCUGUGUACUUCUGUGCUCUGAGCGCACAGUGUCUGGGGCUGUAG